rfam:Oryzias latipes DNA, chromosome14, strain: Hd-rR.
CAGAGCGGGGCCGUCAAACCGUUACCAUUACUGAGUUUAGUAAUGGUAAGGGUUCCACGGCCUUUGCUCAA